CCCAGACUCCUACGGGAGGCAGCAGUGGGGGAUAUUGCACAAUGGGGGGAACCCUGAUGCAGCGACGCCGCGUGGGUGAAGGAGCGUUUCGGCGCGUAAAGCCCUAUCGGCAGGGAAGAAGGAGGACGGUACCUGACUAAGAAGCCCCGGCUAACUACGUGCCAGCAGCCGCGGUAAUACGUAGGGGGCAAGCGUUAUCCGGAUUUACUGGGUGUAAAGGGGGCGCAGACGGCAGCGCAAGCCAGGAGUGAAAGCCCGGGGCCCAACCCCGGGACUGCUCUUGGAACUGCGCGGCUGGAGUGCAGGAGGGGCAGGCGGAAUUCCUGGUGUAGCGGUGAAAUGCGUAGAUAUCAGGAGGAACACCGGUGGCGAAGGCGGCCUGCUGGACUGCGACUGACGUUGAGGCCCGAAAGCGUGGGGAGCAAACAGGAUUAGAUACCCUAGUAAU
rnacentral:rRNA from 1 species